GCCCUUAUAGCUCAGUGGUAGUAGCGCGUCGCUCGUAUGAAAGGCGAUACGACGAGGUCCGCUGUUCGAUCCAGCGUGGGGGCA